UACACUGCUAUCACUUCACCGGUCUAGCCGUGGAGCGACGAGCGUUAGGGGCGGCUUGAUGGACGCCCGGCCGGCUUACAACUGUGCUGCGAGUCCGCACUACAGCCCAACGCGCCGCCGAUAUACUUAAGCGUCGUAUGAAUGUGAACUUUAAAUUUAUUUAAAUAAAGAAUAAUGAAAAGAAUUAUAAUAAAGACACAGAUCGCGCCCGACGACGUACAAACUGGAACUGAGUGAACAGUCUUCGCCGCGCACCAAUUAAACUGAGUAAACAUUAAUGAAACACAAUUUGUUGAAGCUUUCGGUUCAAACAGGAUCUAACCGCAGACACUCGCCACUUCUCGUUAAUGACGAUAAUAUUCUUCGAAAGACAUUUGCAUUAAAUAUAUCUAAAUCAACGUGAGUCAUAUUAUUUUUACUGUAAUUGAUCUCGUUAUUGUACAUUCUGAGAAUCAUCAGUGUUAUAAUAACUUCAGAGAAGUUAGGGUCGUCGUGUGCGAGACAUGAUCGUCGAUAAUAUCUUGUAAAGUGUUCAAUCUGUGACCCCAUGGGGUCUUCAUACUAUAGUGUGUACGUGAUAUGAGAGCACGCACCGGCCGUGUGUACUAAACGAGAGCGACUCAUUGAUAACACACACUAGUGCCGGAACACCUACAUAAUACGGACUGAAGUUUUGAUGGAAUUGAGAAUUAUAUUAAAACGACAAAGGCAUAAAACUCAUUGUUAUGAAUCUUUAUUAUAAAGAAUGCCUCUCAUGAAAGUCGUCGUUAUAUAUCGAUUAGCGAUUCACGUGAAAACAUGUGCAUGAUCGCCGUUCGUAAAUCAUCGGAGCGGGACGGUUGUUGCAACGCUGGCGGCAAUACAAGGCCGGCCGGAAGCAGCAGGGUCUUAACGAAUAGGUGAACUAAGGCGGCCGGAGCUCGGAGAAGUGACCUUAGGAGAAGACCACCAGAAAUGGGACCAGCCACGGAUAACACGAACUUGACCUUAUUAAUCACAUGUUGGUCACUAUUGAACGAAUGUAUUUUAACACUUAGCUAUCGUUAAACGAGAUAAAACAUUAUAAUAUAUACAUAUAUAACAAUCAGGUCUAUUCACAUUUCUAACAAAUGGAUUUAUAGAAUCAUUGAAAAGUAUUUAUAAAGCGUACGACUAUAUAUAUGGUAAAUGAAAAGUAAUUAAAACUGCCAGAUUGUUCAUGUGGGUGGUAGGAAAUUUCAUAUAUAUACAUAGCUAUUAAAUCCGUACGUCAAUGAAACACAGACCGUCAGAAAAUAUUGAUAUAAAUCAAUUGGAAAUUUAAUAUUAUUUACUAUAAAGGAUCACGUGUGAGUUACUUCCACCCGCAUCAUACUUGUCUUCAUGUAUUGUUAACACACAAAAUAUUUGAGGCGAACUUAUUCAAAUGGAAGCAACGUCACUUGCAAGGGCUAUUUAAUUUUUUAGAAAUUUUGGUAUUUAUUUUCUUUCGGACAUAUAUUUUAAUAAAGAAAAUAUUUCUUUAUCUUUUAAGCUUUUAGCUUCUCUUUAGGUAUAUAAAUAUUACAAAAAUCGUUAUAUUUAAUACAAAGGAAUUCAGAGUAAAGUUUCUGUACGGUGACGUGUCUGGUGACCGGAGCCAGCUAGAUGAAACGAGUUUCAAUUUAAGUGUUUUACACAACGAUACAAAACAAUUAAAUAGUAAGCAUACACCGAACGCUCCUCAAUUAGGAUUAAUUCAACAAUCCCAACUUUAUAAAAUAUAAGACAUACUAAUACCUAACGCUUUCACGCUUUUUUUAUUAUGUAAUAAUUUUUUACAGAAUAAAAAAAAUAGGCAAUUGUAGCCUAAAUAGUAUUGUAAGUAAUAUAUUUAAUUUCCAUUUUAGACCAAGCCUAAGCCUAAUAUCAUAUCAAAUUAAAUUGGGCAUACCACCAAUUGUUUGUAAAAGAAACAAAUAGAAUGAUAUAUAUAUAUUGAUGCUAUUUAGUUAUUGGUAAUGUUAUUUAAAUACCUAGUUAUAAAUUGAUCUGAGAUGGAGAUAUGCUCUCCUAGGUGAAGGUGAUCUCAUCUAUUUCCGUAUCAUCAUAAGCAGGCGAUGAGCACACCAUGUGCCGCCAUCUAGCGCUAACUAUUGGAGUGCCACAGCUAAUGCCAGCUGCCGGUCUAUUUCAGUCGGACGUACCCUCGUAUUAUUUGUUUACCGUAUAUAAUGUAAUAAAAUUGCGUUUCAUUUGAUUAA